UAAGCGUGAUGAUGAUGGCGAAAGCUUAGUCUAGCUUAGAUGUGUUUUAUCUCAUC
rfam:Lactobacillus pasteurii DSM 23907 = CRBIP 24.76, type strain:CRBIP 24.76, WGS project CAKD01000000 data, contig: 20